GGAAUCAUUAGCUCAGUCAGUAGAGCGUGGCGCUAACAACGCCAAGGUCAUGGGUUCGAUUCCCGUUCGGUCCC
rfam:Apaloderma vittatum contig85726, whole genome shotgun sequence.